UACGUAGGGAGCAAGCGUUGUCCGGAUUUACUGGGUGUAAAGGGUGCGUAGGCGGCUUAGCAAGUCAGGCGUGAAAUAUAUGGGCUUAACCCAUAGACUGCGUUUGAAACUGUUGAGCUUGAGUGAAGUAGAGGUAGGCGGAAUUCCCGGUGUAGCGGUGAAAUGCGUAGAGAUCGGGAGGAACACCAGUGGCGAAGGCGGCCUACUGGGCUUUAACUGACGCUGAGGCACGAAAGCAUGGGUAGCAAACAGGAUUAGAUACCCUGGUAGUCCAUGCCGUAAACGAUGAUUACUAGGUGUGGGGGGUCUGACCCCUUCCGUGCCGGAGUUAACACAAUAAGUAAUCCACCUGGGAAGUACGACCGCAAGGUUGAA
rnacentral:rRNA from 1 species